rnacentral:rRNA from 1 species
ACCAACACUGCUUACCUUCUUUUAUAUGUUGAUGAUAUUAUCCUCACAGCUUCCUCACAACAAUUUUUAGAUCAUAUUAUCUCUCUUCUUCGCCGCGAAUUCUCUAUGACAGAUUUAGGUCUUCUUCACCACUUCUUAGGUAUUGCUGUUAUCCGUGACUCCUCUGGUCUUUUCUUGUCUCAACGUCAGUACACUCUGGAUCUUCUUUUUCGUGCUGGUAUGCUUGAUUGUCAAACUUCCCGUAUCCCUGUUGAUACAGGUUCCAAACUCUCUGCCGAUGGUGAUCCUUUCUCUGAUCCUUCUCUUUAUCGUAGUCUUACCGGUGCACUUCAGUAUCUCACUCUCACUCGUCCUGAAAUUUCUUUGUUGUCCAACAAGCUUGUUUAUACAUGCACGAUCCUC